UGGACCUAAAAGGACAGAAGUGAAAGUUACAGAAAUUCAGCCAAAUCUGUUGAGCAAGUCUGUCAGAAUAUACUGAUCCCAUAAGUGUUGAUUUCAGCCCCUCACACUUGGAUUUGAGCAUCUAAACAAAGAGGCUUUCAGACAGGACACAACCAUGGCACUGCUGGACUUUAAAUUAGAAAUGUCCUAAUUAAGUUUUUGUCUUUUUUGGUUCUGUUCCGAUUUGAGUCAUUUAAUAUUUGGUAUCUACCAAUUCCUGAUAAUUAGGUGUAUUACCGGUUGCCCCACCAGGUGGUUACUGUUAAGUCCUAUGGCAACCAGUAGAGGUGGUCCCUCCUACACUAUAUUGCCAAAAGUAUUUGCUCACCUGCCUUGACUUGCAUAUGAACAUAAGUGACAUCCCAUUCCUAAUCCAUAGGGUUCAAUAUGACGUCGGUCCACACUUUGCAGCUAUAACAGCUUCAGCUCUUCUGGGAAGGCUGUCCACAAGGUUUAGGAGUGUGUUCAUGGGAACUUUUGACCAUUCUUCUAGAAGCGCAUUUGUGAGGUCACACACUGAUGUUGGACCAGAAGGCCUUGCUCUCAGUCUCCGUUCUGAUUCAUCCCAAAGGUGUUCUAUCAGGUUGAGGUCAGGACUCUGUGCAGGCCAGUCAAGUUCAUCCACACCAGACUCUGUCAUCCAUGUCUUUAUGGACCUUGCUUUGUGCAGUGGUGCACAGUAAUGUUGGAAGAGGAAGGGGCCAGCUCCAAACUGUUCCCACAAAGUUGGGAGCAUGGAAUUGUCCAAAAUGUCUUGGUAUGCUGAAACAUUCAGAGUUCCUUUCACUGGAACUAAGGGCCAAGCCCAACUCCUGAAAAACAAGCCCACACCAUAAUCCCCCCUCCAACUAACUUUACACUUGGCACAAUGCAGUCCGACAAGUAUCGUUCUCCUGGCAACUGCCAAACCCAGACUCAUCCAUCAGAUUGCCAGAUGGGAAAGCACGAUUGGUCACUCCAGAGAAGGCGUCUCCACUGCUCUAGAGUCCAGUGGCAGUGUGCUUUACACCACUGCAUCCAGCACUUUGCAUUGCACUUGGUGAUGUACGGCUUGGAUGCAGCUGCUUGACCAUGGAAACCCAUUCCAUGAAGCUGUCUGCGCACUGUUCUUGAGCUAAUCUGAAGGCCACAUGAAGUUUGAAGGUCUGUAGCGAUCGACUCUGCAGAAAGUUGGCCACCUCUUGGCACUAUGCGCCUCAGCAUCGGCUGACCCCGCUCCAUCAGUUUACGUGGCCAACCACUUGGUGGUUGAGUUGCUGUCGUUCCCACCACAUCCACUUUCUUAUACAGCUGACAGUUGACUGUAGAAUAUUUAGGAGCGAGGAAACGUCACGGCUGGAUUUGUUCACUGAGCUCCUGAGAGCGACCCAUUCUUUCACAAAUGUUUGUAAAAGCAGUCUGCAUGCCUAGGUGCUUGAUUUUAUACACCUGUGACCAUGGAAGUGAUUGGAACACCUGAUUUUGAUUUUUUUGGAUGGAUGAGCGAAUACUUUUGGCAAUAUAGUGUAUGUUUAGCUAGCUUUAGGGAGUUUAUCAAGGAAAGGAGCAGCAUGAUAGAAUCUUAUUUGAGGUCUUGUGACGUCAGGCCAGUGAAUGAGUAUUGAAAUAAGCUGGGAUAAAGUAGCAUAGCAAUCUUGCGUCUUAUGUAAUAGUCGUUUUUGCAUUUUCUUUUUGCACAUUUCCCUGUGAAAACAGAUAUAGACUAAGAAUCACAGAAAUGUUUGUGCCAAUACUGAUUAAUUUAAAAUUGCUUCAACUGUUGGUCAUUGCAUUGAGCAAAGUGUAUGCACAGUAGUCAAAAUUCUGAUUAGCUGAACUUUACUCCACAAUUUUAAGAAUGCCCAAAUGACCAAUAGAAAUAAGAUAUCCAGCCAGGCAUGAAAGGCAAAAUGGAGGAAAAAUGUUUUAAAAUUUUUUAAUUAUUUAGUAGGUGAGAUAUACUUUACCUAUUUUAAAUUUCUUACACCCAUUUCUCUCUUAUGACAAUCAGAAAAAGGAACAGAGUUGAGCGAGGAUCGUAUCUAAACAGACAGUAGCCUCUAAUAAUUUCUCUAUUUUUUUGUCUCUUCCUUAUUGUCCUUCUGCUUGUGACCCAGAAAUCAAUCUUAGCGCACCAUCUUUAAAGACGUCUCAAAUGCUAAAAUGCAUUUUGAGGACAGAAAAGGCUGCUGGAGCGUGGAUACAUCUGUACAUCUGUGCUACAAUGAGCAAAAGAAAAAAUUAAACCAGAAGAGGAUACAACCAGGACACGCAACUAAGAGGUUAAUCCUGAGAAGAACAAAAACUACACAGAGAACUGAAUUAAAGUACAGUAUUUCUCUUUACAUUUCUAUUUUUCUGUCAUUAAAUCUGGUGGUUACACUUUCUUUUACUGUAUUGACUGUUAAAGAGCCUGAAUUUUGCGUUUUUUUAGUUUAUAAUUUCAUUUCUGCAGUCUAAUACAAAAUGUUUUGAUGCUUUAUUGUUUAACAAACAUGUAGAUAAGUUUUCAGAUAUUGAUUACAAACUAAAAAGCAGCAAUAUAUCACACUAAAGGUACUCCAAAUACAUGUUGUAUACUGUUAAUGUAUGACUGCAAAACAGAAUAUAUUUGCAGUAAUACAUUAACAGUGUAGUUUUAUUUACACUUUGUGGUCCAAACAAUCCAGUGGUUAAUUUUGUUUUUACAUUAACUUGGAAAUCAUCAAAAAAUGUGAGGAUUGGAAACUUUUUAAAAGUAGCUGUGACAAUGGCAAAUUAAACAAAAAUCUAUGCUGCUCGAGUGUUACUGUCAUGAAAAGACGCAAACAAAUACUGAUAGAUGCUGAUUUUAAUGGACAUUUUCCAUUGAUGCUGAUGUUACAAAUGUUUUUGUAAGAUUUUUUUAUUUCUCCUUAUUUCCUCAAUGUCUGAAGUUUCCACAGUUUUUUAUGCACAAACAUAAAAAAACAGGUGUACAAAAACACAAUUAAUACAAUUUCUCUCUUUUUCCAGAGCUUUCAGUUGCCUCUCAGUCUUAGUAUGUUGAAGGAUGCUUUCUGUGACAACUGAGCAAACUCCUUGUGUUGACGAAGACCAUAGAAUAUGACUGGAAGCAGCUGAGGAAAAAGCACGUAGGUGAAGCUUGAGUUACAGUAAUUUUGUCGAAAAAAUUAUAAAGUCUGAGAGAUAAACUCCACCUGCACGAGCAUAAACUGCAUUUUCAGACACGGACAGCAGAGGUCAGUGUUAUAACAGUAAUGGGAGGUGGUUGUUUUGCGUGUCUGUUACAGAAGAUGUUGCGGUAUUGUUAGCACCAGGCUGCAAAUUUCUAUUAAUUGAACAGCGCAAACCCAGAGUUUUGUUAGUGUUGACUUCACAUUCAGGACAGAAGCUUGUAGAUGAGAUCAGUGUGAAUCUCAGUCAGUCAGUUCAGAAGAAACUUGGGUUUUCUCUCACAGUAACAGAGGCCCCAUUUAUUUAUUUCAAACUCUGUGAAUCGACUGAUCAAGAAGCAAACUGAAGACAUGCAAUGUGAUGGUGGGUGGGUGUGUAAGUGGGUGUCUGGGGGUUUUCUGACCCCUGGGUGGAGCUCUUUCUGCCCUGGCUGUAAUAGACAGGCAGGGAGGGGGAGGAAAAGGUCUUGGCUCGGCUGCUCAGUGGCUGCGGACCGACUAUCAUGUCCAGCCUGUGAGGGAAGCAAACACAUGCACACCGGUACACACAUGCACAAACACACAUAUGUAACACAGAUGUAAACCCGUGCAGCUAUGAAAACGCACGGAUCAGUGCGGUCGAAUAAACACUGUUGGAUCCUACCUGGUCUGCAGACUCUUGAUGCGACACAGCAUGUCCAGGUGACCGGCUGAGUACUGCUCUAUCACAUCUUUCACAUCGUACGGACGCAGCGUCUCCUUAAACUUCUUCUUGGCUACAUGGAACUUCAUUAUCCUGCAGAAAACAAAAAGAACAAGAAACACUAACACAUGAAAGGAAACUCAAAAAGCAGAAUAAGGGCUCUUAAAGUCACAAACUUUGUGCAUGUCAGCAUAUAGUUGCUAAAACAGUGUGGUCCAAAAAUGUCAUUUUCACAUGAACUUGAAAAGUUUGAGGACUUAGAAACUGUUUAUAAGAGGUUGUAUAAAUGAAGCAAACAGUUAAAUCAGCUGCAGUCAUUUAAACAGAAAAAACUAAACAUGCUGAGAGUUUUCACUGAAAUUCUUCAGCUGAUAGGUAUGUUUCUCAUGAAUAUUUUUGUAUUAGACCUAAUUUGUGUUGUCAGACUUUUGAAUGUUAACUUCUCUUUUUUCAACUUUUUCCUUGCACAAGCAUAAAAAUGUGCUUUAAACUGGUGUGUAAAAACGCACUUAAUGCAAAGAUCCAGUUUUACAGUACAUCACUCAAGAAAAAAAAAAAAACAAAACAAAGUUCACAAAUGAGCCAGGAGGGGGAGCUGUGACCCAGCAGCCACAAUGGACAGCUAAUGAAAACAAAUGUCAGCCCACUUCUUAUUUUCUACCUUUUAUAGCUGUUCUAAACGUGUUGCAUUCAGACCAACGACCUGUUUGUUCAACUCCAACACAGGGCACACCUGAACACUCACUUCCCCAGGCCUUAUGGAAACAUCCUGCUGCAGAUUUCAGCUGUGUGAGUGUAAAACGAUCUGAACCUCGCUCUGAAUUUAUGCACCUGUGGAGCCUCAAGGCUGAAUUCAGGGGAGUUUGGCUGAAAGUGGAGAGAGGAGGGACAGACAGCAAUAAAACUGAUCCAAGUGGAGGCGAGACGAGGAAGGAGGUACAGUCUGAGAGCAUCGACAGUCCCACAGAGUAAAGCUGGCAUGUGAGAAGCCUGUAAGUUCAUUUUACUGACGAUACUUGUGCACUUUCAUGUGGUACUUUUUUUUUUGACAUAUUAAAGAUUCUAGGUGCAGAACUCUUACCGACAUCGAGUGCAUUUCCUACUGUGGAGAAUGCAACUAGUUGUCAUUUCUACUUAUAAAAUGUCUGCAUUAGAUUAAAAACUAAACCUCUGAACCCCAUGCACAUUUCUGGAGUUUUUGUGCUCCUAUUCCAUUUUUCCUCACUGUGGGCUCACCUCUAUGGAAACACAACCACUCAGAAAGGCCCUCUAUCCAGUAUGACACUGUUAGAAUUAUAAAUCAACCUUUUAAAAAAAAAAAUCAUUUAUUUGAUUAUUUAUUUUACAGAUAUGACAAAAAAUAUGGAAACAACAUUUACUAGAUUUUUCCAAGUGCCCAUAGCUGUUACCAGCACUGGCAACAAUUGUGCCUAAAUUUUCUGUAGAUGUUUUACUACUUACAUUUUUAAUUUGAUUCCAUACCUGUAUUCUUACUGCUCUGUGUAAACACAGCCUGCAGUUUAGCUGAAAAGUCUCUGAAAUUAUGUCAUGUUACUGUUAUUUACAGCUGAGUCAUGAUUGGCUUCAACGUUACACAGAACAGCACAGAAUUUUUCAUUUUUUACAGUAUUUAGGGACUGCAACUGCUUUAUUUCAGGUGAUUUAUCAUAUCACAUAUGUAGAAUGAAGUGAUUUUGAUAAAAUAUCUCACAUUUAAGCUUAGAUUUGUUUCCAUUGAAACUGCAUGUUCCAGAUAAGUAGUUCAUAGACUGUGGGAAAAUCAAACAUUUAAUAAUAGUUUCUGUUUUUACAGUUUCUGCCUCCAAUAAAUUGUGUCAUUUUGCAGAUUUAUAGAAAUAUAACAUGCCGGCAGGUUUGGGGGUUCAGAGGUUGAGUUUCAGUCUUUGCCAGAUUUACAUUUAUUAAAACACAUUCAAACAUCCAUCCAUUCUCUAUACACUGCUUUAUCCUCACUAGGGUCGCUGGAGUCUAUCCCAGCUGACUCAGGCGAAGGCAGGGGACACCCUGGACAGGUCGCCAGUCUGUCGCAGGGCUACAUAUACAGACACACAAUCACACUCACAUUCAUACCUACAGACAAUUUAGAGUAAUCGAUUAACCUCAGCAUAUUUUGGACUGUGGGAGGAUGCCGGAGUACCUGGAGAAAACCCACACACGCACAGGGAGAACAUGCAAACUCCAUGCAGAAAGAUCCCAGGCCCAGGCCGGGAUUUGAACCGGGUAUCUUCUUGCUGCAAGGCUAUAGUGCUAACCACUAUACCAAUGUGCAGCCCCCCACAUUCAAACAGUUAAACAUAUUUAAUUCCUGCUGGUUCAAAACUUGCAUCUGACAGAUCAUCAUUAAUGGCGGCCGCCAGACAUCCGGCCGCAGUAGCGGCCGAGGCGGCGGCCGCAAACGCCGAUGGACAGCUUAAAUCGUCAUGAAUCCGCCGGUAUAAACCACUUUCAGAUGUGAUCCGGCCGCCGCAAUGGCGGCCGCGGCGGCGGCCGCAAACGCCGAUGGACAGCUUAGAUCGUCAUGAAUCCGCCUAAUUUGCAUAGGAAUUUAAAGAAUGUCCGGUGGCCGCAGCGGCGGCCGCAAACGCCAAUGGACAGCUUAGAUCGUCAUGAAUCCGCCGGUAUAAACCACUUUCAGAUGUGAUUACCACAGCGGGUUUCGCUCAUGGUGAGCUGCACGAAAAACAUGACGACAUCGUGUUGGAGCGCACGAAACCGAAACAAAAACUGACGUGACAGUUUCACGAAUCCCCGUGAGACCGUGUUGACCACACACACUGUGUCCUUGUAAUCACCUUACAUAGCUUUGCAGCGUUAAUGUUCCCACUAACCAAAUUUCCUGUCUCUGCACACUGAGACGAUCUAAAAAUAAGCUAAAUAAAAGUCUUCCGGUCACUUUAAUCCUCAGGAGAGCUGAUGGACAACAGGGGGCUGCAGUCACGGUUGGUUAUAGGCGGCAAAAAACAGGAUUAGCUGGAUUGGAGGAGUCAUUUUCUUUGUCUCACCUGACAGCUCUGAUGACAGACUUGACUGAGGGCAACAAGUCCUCCACAGAGAUCUCACAAUGGCAUCCUUUAUCAUCAAAACCAUCCUCAGCUGCCAUGUUGGACUCGCCUGUAUAGAGAGAAGAGGCAGAGGAGGAGGAGGAUUAUUCAUGUUUCUGUUUAGUGAUCAGGCCACUUUGUGUCACAUGUGACAUUUAACAUGAAGACCAACUACAGGCUCCAGUGAGAAGAAUACUCAAACACUUCAGCUAACUCCAAAAAAAGCAGCAGAUUUUUUGCUUUGAUUGUGGUUUCACUCACAAAUCACAACCACUUUGCAGCAUUUUGGUGUUGCCGGUAGUCAGUCAUUAUCCAACAACUUCUGGCUGCUUAUUUAGCUCUAUUUAGUGCCAGUUAUUUAGCUCCCACUAGCUCCAAGUAGCCCAUGUCAUAUGGAUCUUGUUAGCUCAUGUUUCCUAUACAUAGCUCCUUUAGCUUCUCAUGACUUGUACUAGAUUGUGUUUGCUCCAGUUGGCUGCAUUUGGCUCGAGUGAGCUCAUUUUAGUGUCAUUUAUCUGCAGGUGGCUACCAAGCUCGAGCCUCAAUAGGUUCAUUGUCAGCACCUAUUAUUUUCCAAAUGGUUAAACUUAGCUAAACCUAGCCCCUAAUGUCUCAUGUUAGCUCUUCGUGGGUCCUGUUAGUUAUAGAUAGGCAUUGGCAAGAGGAAGCUCCCAAAAGUUUCAGCCCCUGCUGGAUGUGUUCUGUUAAGUCCUGUUGGCUUGACAUGGUGUCUGUUAGCUCCAGUUGGAUGCACUUUGCUCCAGUUAGUUCAAUUUAAUGACAUUUAUCUGUAGUUGACCAAUGUUUUAGUUGUAUCCCAUUGCCUUCAGCUAGUUUGUUAGCUCCUGAUAACUUUUGUUAGCUCUUACUAGUGAAGGAAAGUUCCACUUAGCUCUUUUGAGCUUCAGAUAAACUCUGCUAGCUUCCAAUGGCUACUGUCAGCUUCUAUUAGCUCCAGUUGGCUCUGGUUGUGUCUCUUUGUGACUUUUGUAAUCUACUGUUAGCUUCAGUAGUUUUUUGUUAACACCUAUUAGCUUCUGUUAGCUCCAAUCAGCACCUCUUAAUUUCAUAUGGCUCAUAUUAGCCUCUGAUAGCCCCCAUUAGCGUCUAUUAGCUAAAAACAAGGCUCCAGUUAGCUCCUUUGAGAUUGACAUAUUUUCUGCACGUUUUUGAUGGCUUCCUUUUGCUCCUGUGCUCUGUCAGCUCCGGUUGGAUCCACUUAGGUCAUUUUAUGUGGGGUUACCACUGGUUAGUAGCUGGUUCUGCAUUAAAAUGACAAUAAAAUGCACUGUAAACGUGCAGUGUGGGAUAGUUGCAUUCCAAUCCAUUAUAAACCACAACUUUCAUGGUACAUACAGGGAUUUGGUCCAUCUGUUUUAAUAAUAGUUAAUGCUUUAUAUAUCAGCUUUAGGAACCUGUAUAAUUCUACAACAGAAAUGUAGCCGUUUUUUCUUAAUUUUGUGGUAUAGUAACAAAGUAGUUUUGAUUUUGGGGUUAAAAGUCUGAAUAUAAUGAUACUAGGGAGUCAAGUGAACUAAGGGUAGAGGAGAAAAUUGAUUUUGAUGAAUAGAAAAUCAGUGUUUAAGAGUAGACCUGUGCAGAUAAAUCACGAACAGCUGUUUAUGGGCACGCUGAGGAUUUGAACUGAGUUUUACAGUGCAAAGUUCAGCUGUUUGUUGUGUUUAACCACACAUUGUAAAUGACCUCAGGUAAGCACCACUUAGUCCACAGCAUGCUGGCUGCUGUGUGAUGAAAAACAGAGCUGAUUAAUGAUUUGCUCCAUUAACAAAUGUUCCUCUAAAACAACUUCUUGUUCUAAUUAAGCUGUAAUGGCAUGCAAAUGUUUCCCAUCCUCUAACAUGUCAGUGAAUAAUCAGACAUCCAGCCAGUUAGGUUUUGGCUGGUUUGGCUGUAGACUCCUCUCCACCGGCAGCCAGCUGGACGCUCUGACAGCCCAUAUGGCUGCUUCCAUCCAUCCAUCAGUCCACCCACAAACACCAACUGGCUGCUGCCCGCGACGGCUUGUCAGGCCGGCACCGCCCGGACAGAGGAAGCAGCCAUUAGCAUUCCUGCACUCGGCUGACUGAAUUAGUGGGUAAAACCAGCUAUGGUGGUCGGCCAAGAAGACUCAAACAGCCAGUUAAAGGAACAGUCUGACACUUAGGGGGAAAUGUCUUUUGCUUUCCUGUUCAAAGUUUGAUGAGCAGAUAGACACUGGGAGCAGAAGAGGUUUUUACACAUUUUGUAGGGGAUUAAUUGUAUGUUUUAAAUUGGUUAAAAAAAAUUAGAUGAGAUUCAGAUUAAGUUUGUCAAACCUAAAUUUGUAUAAUAAACAAAACUGUAGAGAGAUAAGCUUAAUAUUUAAGUUACACAAUAAAAUUUUUUACUUUCUAAAAUAAUAUCUUCUUAUCUGGAUAGUUUUAAUUUUGCUAUUUUAAUUUGUCAGAUAAAUUUAUAUAACAAUGUUAUUGGAGAUUAGCUGUAAUUUUUUUUAAAAAAUUUGACGAAUAAAUUUACACUAUUUUUAAUAUUGUGGCGUCUUGAGAUUUAAAAAAAAUGGCCUAAUUUAUGUAAUAAAUAAUACUGUACGGUCUUAGUCUUGUAUCUUAAAUUUCAUAUAAAUAAGGUGAAUUUCUUCUUUAUAUAAAAAACUGAAAGGGUUUACCAUUAAUAUUUAGAUUAAGUAAAAUUUGUCGGGUAAAUUUGUAUUAUAAAUAAUAUUAUAGGGUCCUAACUGUGUUACUUGACUUAGUCAAAAAAAUCAGAUUAGUAUAUAAUAUAAAAAGAGUCCUAACUUUGCUAUUUAAAUCAACCAGGUAAGUGUCUAUAACAUCUGAUACUGUAGGGUCUAAACCCUUACAUUUAAACUUGUUAGGUAAAGUGAGAACAUUGAUCUUAAUUCUCUAUUUAAAAGCACUUAGGCUUUUGUUUUAAAUGUAUGAUGUAAGUAAAGGUGACUGGAUUUAUUUAAUUAAGGAUAAAAAUGAGGUAUAAAAUGGUAAACAGUGAACAGAGUCAGGUAGAACAGGUUUCCUCUCUGUUACCAGUCUUUGUGCUCAGCCUAAUUAACAGUCUCCUGUUUAACAAAAGUGGAGUUUUUAAGAUUUGUCAUUAACUUCAUACUAACAAUAAACUGAACUCUGUAUGUGGAAAGGAUAAAAAUGGAAGCUCUUAUUGACCCACAGCUCAGUAAAGCAUUUGUGAUUGGCCCUCACCGUCCGUGGUGGAGCGUGACUGGCUCUUGAGGCGGAGCGAAGGCCUGAAUCUGGUGCGGUCGUUGAAGCUCCAGCUCUUCUGGACCUUGGCGGGACUUGUUCCCUCGGUGCCGGCAUCGGCCCCCGGGGACCGCCGGUCGUUUACAGAAGACGUCUGCCGGUUCUUGAUGCUCUGACCGCGGGGGCUUGCCAUCCUCACCCGCUCCUUGAAGCUCAACUUCUGGCUGGAAGUGGGAUGAAGAGCAGCACAGCAGAGGAGUCGGAACGAAGAGAAGGAGAAGAAUGGUGUGAAACGACAGACAGGUGAAUAAAUAUGUGUUAUUGAUGCAAGUUUUGAGGCAACAACUUAAGUUACUUAAGACUUUUGGCAAAUAGUUGCUCCUUUAUUUGGUCUCAUCACAUGUCAGCCAUCAUUCAGAGUUCUAAAGUCAGGUUUAAGGGCUGCAGGACAACAUGGAGGAAGACCAGCAUGCAUUGCAGCAGGUGCUUUACACAAAAUGCAACCCGUUGUUAGGUAUGAUGCUUCAGCUGCGUCAUGAUGCUUGGCGUUUAAGCAAAUUACAACUAGUGUUGUACUGUUAUAGCAGAAGGUUAAACUGUACUGAAUGUUUUUGAUUUAUUGCACAUAAUGUGUCAUUUAAGAGUAAAUUUAUGGUUAAAAACAAAUAAAAAUGUCCUGACCAAACAGGAGAAGUGGUGUAGAGACCUUAAAGAGCCCAUAUUAUCCACAUUCAUAGGUUUCUUUUUGUGUGUCUACUAUAAUACGUUUACAAGCUUUAAUAUUUAUAAAUGAAUAUUUUUCUCAUUUAUGUUGCUGCAGCACCUCCUCUGUCGGAAAAGCUCAGUUUUCGCUCAGGCCCUACCUCCUGAAAAGCCGAGUCAGCUCUGAUUGGUCCGCUGGUCCGACGAAAACCAGGUAGCGUUGCUUAGUAACCCCAGAUCUAUCAGUUUAGAGAUUUUAGUUCCAGCAGACACAGCUUUAGCAAGGAAAUAGCAACGGGCUAUAAAACAGCUGUGCAGGUAUUGUUUCGUACAUGAUGAUGUUGAUAAGUAAUAGGACAAAAAAGUAGACUUUAAAGGAAGUUUUUCAGGCAUCUAAGGAGCAGUUUUCUGGUGGCGGGAAUAACUCUCUUUGGUCUGACUGGCGUUUUUGUGAGUUUGCAGACUUUUUACAUGCACAAAAACCAAGUGAAAUAACACUAAAGGAAAAAAUAAAUAAAAGCAUAAUAUGGGCUCUUUAAGGGAUUGUCUGUAUUUACGGAGCUAUAUAAGAAAAUGAAAGCAUGCAGAGGCAGUGCAUAAGCGUCAGGCAUAGCUCAUUUGAAAACACUAUGGUGUAUUGGGCUGAACAUCUGUUGUUUUGCUUCAGAGUCUAAUGCUUGUAUCUAUAUUUUUCCUACUUUAAGCAAUUAUGAAAAGAAAAACAAUUAGUUAUCGUGUCUCUCAGCACUUUUUCACUGUAAUUGUAACAUCCUAGUAAUAUCCUAAAACAGCGGGACACUGUAGGUUUUAACACAUGAUUCUUCAACAGGUGUACAUUAUCACACUAUUUCAAGUUGUGGAUCAACCCUCUGAAUCCUAGAAGCUGCCCGUAGGUUUGAAAGGCAAAAAAAUUAAAAUUAAUAUGACACCAAAAACAGAGAGCAUCGUCACAUCUUCAACUUUCUGACAGUCUUUAAAUUAUCCAUGUGUGAAAGUGAACCAAAUCUAAGCUUGAAAUCAUUCAUCAAAAUCACUAUUUUUAAACAAGUCGACACUACUUGGUGCAACUCAUCUGCAGCCAACAGUCAUGACAUGAAAAUUCAGAGUUCUUAGAUGGAUUGCAGACUGUGUUUACAUAGACCAGAGAAGAAAAUGAAACAUAUUUGAUUGAUGAAAUAAAUACAGCCUGACUCAAAAACAGUAAACAGAGGAGCAAGUUGUUGGAAGAUACAUUUGGCAUGGACGGUGAAACAUUUUUUUACAGUUGAUUUGCUGAGUAGUAUGAAAAAGGUUGCAAAAUAUAAAUAGUUAAAUAUCUAUGGCAUGUGGAGACACUAUUGUUUUGCCAGAGUGGUAAAAAUAUUGAACAUAUUGAUUCCAAUUUUUUUCAAUUUUUGCAAAAAAAAUGUUUUAUAAAAAGGAUAAUCUUGGGGAAAAUUUAAAAAAAUCUAAACUUAAAAUCAUAUUUAAUCAAAGUCACUAUAUUCUACACAUCUUGUUUAAGAAUUUGCCAAAAAUGAACCCUUUGCAGUAACCAGAUUCUACAAAAAAAAUAAUGCAAAAGCAAACUGUUUCCACAGAGCAGAAAGCCGACGCCUAUGGAAGCAAAUUAUAAAUGCAAGUAGUAAAAAUAGGUACGAUGUGUCGGUAACACCUGUGGUUAGAUCAAAAAUGACGAACAUGGUUAUUCCAGGUUACUUAAAUUUUUGCAAAAUAAAGAAAAAAAUUCUACUUUUUUAUUAUGGUAUGAUUUAGUGCACAAAAGUAGCCUAGCCGUGCUAGACCCAUGCUCUGAAGACACAAGGGUCUAGGCACGCUCGACAGGGAGGGAGGCGGGCUAAAAGGUUGUCUAUCAAAUCACUCUGCAGCAAUUGGAUAGGUAUACAACCAAUCAGCGCAACGAAUAGGCUGACGUAGUUCCUACAGCGCCGGAAAUCAGAGGAUGCGGUAAUUCGGUGAAGCCUUAUUUAUACAGUCAAUGGGUGAAGCUCAAGUAUAUUACAGACAUGUUAACAGAAAGAUUAUUCAGAGUCGGUGCUAAUGGAGCUCAACGACUGUUGUCGUUUUUGUUGUCGACCCUGGCAGAGAAUUAAAUUCGUUGCCGUGGGUUGUCUAGCGCGGCUAGGCUAGUUGUUUCCGGUUGUUUCUCUCAGAAUCGUCGCGCCUCUGUCGUCACUUAGUUAUGCCCGCCUUCUGACUCUACACUUCAUGGUGAUUCGUCCGGCCAGUUUGAGGAGCAUCCAACCUCGAGCCUUAUAGAGGGUAACUAGACCCACCCUGGCAGAGAAUUAAAUUUGUUGCCGUGGGUUGUCUAGCGCGGCUAGGCUAGCACAAAAGACAAUUUUGAGUUAAUUCUUAUUCUAGUCAUGGUUGUGUGUUGCAAUCAAAAUGUAGGACUUCAUACUACCGUGAAAAAUGAGCCCACAGUGAGGAAAAAUGUGUCAGGAGUGCAAAGAAAUGCAAAAAAAAAGGAGGAUCAGAGGGUUGAUACACAUUUGGUACAGUAGUGAGUGUUUACAAUAGGCAGAAGCUGCAAGUGUUCAUGAUAAUGAUAGAAUUACACAAACACAAAGAUUUUUAGCAGUUUUUUCAAACUAAAAGUCAUCUUGAGCCUUACAGACACUACCGGACAGUUUAAAAUUUGUUAAUGUGUUAUGGGGAGUGAAGCGCAGUUUAUAGUUUCGAAGCAAGAAAUAAAAAAUUAAGAUAAUGCACUACGCAAGAGAUCUUCUGUCUCACUGCAUUCAAGGAAGAAGCUGAUAAUUGUUAGUUGCUUGACAGCGACUGUCAGUGAGAGUGAAACCUGGCACAGACUCUAAUGAUCUGACAGCUAAAAACAAAAACCACAACAGGCAGAAAGUAGCGCAUCGCUCAGGCAAAUAUCAAAGACAGAAAGGCAGAUACUGUACUGCUAUGAAACCUCCCUGCAGGAUUUAACCGGCUCUGCUGCCUCCUACAGAUACCCAUGCACCAGGAAUUAGUCAGCAUUCCCAAAGAAAAACUGCACGUAGCAGGGAAGCAGAGAUGCUGUGUACCUAUGUCUCCGAGUGGUACACCUCCUCAGUAGCUUCUGCUUAUUACUAUGAAUUUUACUAUAAACCAAGAGGAGAUAGACAUACGGGGAUGUGUUACAUGAUGCAGAAACGGAGGAGAGAAAAGUGUUUUGUUUUUUUUUUUGCAAUGUUUAGUGCAGAUAUUUAGUUCUUCUGAGUCAAAACAACAUUUCAGAAAUCCACAUUGUCAUUCUUCAAGGAUAAAUUACCUAACUUUUACCUUUUAUAUGUUUCUUAUUGAGAUAUUCACAAUCAUGACUAGUUACAAGCCCAGUUUCAGGGAUCUAAAGUUUAAUUCCGACGAGUCACAAUUCUGUAGUAAGAUAUCUUCAAUUCUCUUCUACAUUAUUGUUUUCACAUAAAUGAAACUUAAACUGGUCAAAAUAUAUCUUGAAUUAACUAAAUAAUGUUGCAGAUAUCUGUUGUUACAUCAGAAGCUACAGCAAGUGGAAGAUGGAGGAAUAUGACGCACCAUUGUAACAUUCAAUUCAAAUUACAGAUAUUAACAACUACAUUUUGACUAGUUGUAGUUACACUGAGACUAGUCAGUAUUUAUAUUCAAGAGGAAAGAGGUAGUGCUAAGUUGUAGGGAAAUAAAAAUAGUAAAAACAAAUACAGAGCAGAGAACAAGAGCUUCAUUCAUCAGACACUUGAAGUGGAAAUGUACAGGAAGUUAAACCUCCAGCAGCUCUGACAUGGAGGUAAAACCAUUAAAGUGAUCAUAUGUAAUUAUAACCACAGUGUCCUGAAGAUGUUAGCUAGCAAGCAGGUUUAUUUACAUAGCAGAAACUGUACAGACAGAAAGCAUUUUUUCAACAUUUUGAAAAAUGUGGGAAAAUAAAUCCAAUCUAAGGUGGGAAUUAUUCAUCUUUUUUUUGUUCAAAAUUCAUCAAAAAUAAACCACCACAUUCUGUUAAAAAAGCCAUGAGAGACUCAACCAUGACCAACAGUCAUUUCAUAAAAAUUCAGUUUUCAGAUGAACUACAAACCAGGCGUGAGAUAAAAAAAAAACAUAGUGAAUCAAUAAAAUAAAUACAGCAUGGUUCAAAAAAGCAUACAGAGAAGCGAGCUGUUGUAAAAUACAUUCAGCGUGGUGAAAUAUAUUUUCACAGUUGAUGUACAGAGUUGAUAACUGCAGCUUGUAAGAGGUAAAUUAAUCAAUCCAAAAAAAUCCAGCUUCCACUCACAGCAGCUUCUGAUACCACUACAGAUAUCUGCAACAUCAUUUUUCCAAGUCAAAACUCUAAUUUAGUGCAUCUGUGAUCACAUUUUGACCGAAAUUUCAGCUUAAAAUAUCUACAAUAUCAUUCUGACCGGUUCAAAUCUAAUUCAAGAAUCUAAAAUAGCUUGCUUUAGAGAAGAAUGACCUUUUGUCCUGUGGGUCUUUGACCCUUCUCCUGUUUCUUGGUUUAUGUGCGUUUAUUCCUUGUCAUGCUAAAGACUGUAUGUACGAGCUCAGUAAAGUAUGAAGGAAUACAGCAGCCACCACAGGCGCUUCAGUUUGUCGACCACUGACAUUUAGAAGCUGCACAACGGAGGCAGUUGAGCCUAGUCGAAGAAAAUGAAUAUCUACAGCGCCGUUUGAAAAAGGCUGCAAUUUGGUGACUCAUGCACUUAAUGUCGAUAUCCCUCAUUUAACUAUGUGAAUUCAGCCGGGCCAUGGCAACAAGUGUGUGAAUCACCAGUGUGAGGCUGCUAACCUUUAGACAGACACUUGUGGGUUCACUGAGGGCUUUAGGAUGCACAUCCUUUUGUUUUUGUGUGUCAUCUUUUCUCCCAGCUGCGUUUUAUCACCGCUUUUUUCUCCUAUAUACUGUAUCUGUGAUGUAUUACUUUACAAAUCCUGAUAAUAAAUAAAAUACGGCAGCUCACGUUGGACUGUGGCUUUUAAUCUCUUGCGGCUCUGCAGAGGGGAUGUAAAUAGAGCUGGGGUUGUUUUCCCAGAGCCUUCCUCGCUCUUAGAGAUUCUACAUUACAGUGUGGGAUGAGUUCUCUGCUUGUGUGUUUCAAUCUGCUUAUUUUAUUGACUUUUUCCCAUUGUGUGGCUCCAUCUGCACUGCGGUACAGUUCAUAUAUGCCACCGGGCUCGAGGUGAAAAAAACAGCACAACUGCCUUCAGGUUGCUGUGGUGUUUCGCAGACAAAUAUUUAUUGGUGUUUCAUAACUGCAAGCAAAACACAUUACAUCACACAGCCCCCACUGGCCUCCUCGAAUCAGUCUGAAAGCGCUAAAACACUAACAACCACAAAACACAUCAAAAUAACAUUUCUAAUAAGUGUGUAACAGACACCUGCAGCAGGAUGGUAAAAAUCAGACAAAAAUAUGUCGUGUAUGUAGGUGUGUUUUUAUUUCAGUGACUCAGUAUGUGUAUGUGCAUGUGUAGCAAUAAUAAAGAGAGAUAAAACACCAAACAGAAAGAUAAAACAGUGAGUCAUAGAGAGUGCUUGUGUAAAAGUGGCAGGACAACAUGGCAUCACCCACAACCCAAACCUGCUCUAGUUAAAGCGACUUUACUGUUGGAAAUCUUUAGAUACCGUGCAGGUGACAGGCUGAGAGGGAGGGUUGUUUCCAGUGCUAUUUGUUCGUCUAUCAGCAGAGUAACACAAAAAGCAGCAGGCAGAAUUUCAUGUCGACCAUAAGCAAAGGAGCACCCAGUACGUUUUCUACUGCAGGAACUUGAACGCUCUUUUAGACCUGAACCUUUGCACAUGUGCCAACUAGGGAUGCAAUUUUUUCACAGUUUCUUCAUCGGUAGUCUUCCACGUUAACUAUCAGUAACUAAUUUAUGCUGCUUUUCAACGCUGCAUCGUGGCCCCAGAUCAUGAUGCUGCCUCCACCAUGCUGGUCAAUAUGAUUUGGCUGUUUUGAUUGUUGAUUUUGUGCACGUUUAUUAAAAAUAUAAAAUGUAAAACAGCAUUCACCAGCAUCAAGUCAUUUGUAGUAGAUGCAUCUUUAGCUGCAGUUACAGCAUUCAAUCAAUCAAUCAAUCAAUCAAACUUUAUUUGUAUAGCACUUUUCAUACAAACAGAGUUGCAACACAAAGUGCUUCACAGAUUAAGACUGUGUUGAUAGAUCUCAAUCAGCGUGAACAUUGUAAUCUUACCCCAUUAUUAUUUACACAACUGAUCCAAAUCCCAUUUCAAAACAUUCACCUUGUCUUUAAAUCAUUUCUUUGAAUUUUUGACUGUUUGCUUCGUGUCACUGUCUUAUCAGAAAACAAAUCUUCUACCAACUUGCAGUUCUCUUGCAAACUGCAUCUGAUUGUCCUCCAGGAUUUACCUACACUUUGCUGAUUUCAUUUUACCCUCUGCCUUUACAAGUCUUCCAGGGCCUGCUGCUGAGAAACAUCCCCACCUCAUGAUGCUGCCACCACCAUGCUUCACAGUGGGGAUGGUGUGUUUGUGAUGAUGUUGUGUUGUGUUCGCCAAACAUAACGUUUAUACUAAUGGAAAAAACUGCUUAAUUUUCGUGUAAUUAGACCAAAUAAGCUUCUUUUAGUUGACGUCGGAGCACUUAUUCUAUGUGCUGUGGAUGCAGUGAAAGUGAAAGAGUAGAGUUACAAACCUUGUCGUCGACUCUCCCUGCUCCUUCCUGGAGUUGACACAUGAGAAAAAGGGAAAAAUAUAUAUAUGAAAAAAAACAUAUUUUCACAAGGCUUCACUGUUAACACAGUGCUCAAAAGACAACACUGGUGCUUUUGUAUGUUUUGGCCCAUUUGUUUCAUAUCUCAUAGACUUGUCAUGUUGCUGCUGUGUUUCCAAAAUCUGAUUUAAUUUUUGCCACUGGCUUCCAUUUAUUUUUAUACAAAAUAAUAACAAUAAAACAAACAUUUUACAUGGUUUUGAAACUGGUUUAAGUUCUAUAAAUCACCACUGUCAGCAUCCAGUCUGUAUUAACUUUAUUGUGAGGUAAUGCCGUGCAGAAAUUUAUAUCCAGUUUAUACCUUAAAGGUGAAUUCUGGCUGAUCCUAACCUGGUGCUUUUCCAGUGCCAACUUGGUAGAGAUUAUCCUGUGAGGAAAACCCUCACCCUCGUAGAAAAAUGUUUGAAAUAAAGAACGUGGUUUUUGGAAAGCUGCUGGAAGCUCACACUUGUAGCUGUUUUGUGGGAGUCACAAUAAAUACAUUAAUGGGAAAUACAGCAGGUUGAAAUAAACCUGAAUUCUCUUUUAACAGCAGAUACCACUAAAUGUUCAAAGUGAUGGAACUAUGUAACUCGACAGUUUGCUGCUUUUCAGCUGCAGAAGUUAUACUGUGCAGCAUUCAGUGACAAUCAAUGGAUGCCUGGAGCUUAAUUCCUUAAAAAACAAACAACGCCGGUGCGCAAUUAUUUCAAGUGUACAUAAUUUGCAGUUGAGGAGCUAAAACAUGCAAACACACCAGUGCAGAUCUUUAAAUCAGCAUGAAAGGCAGAUUUUUCCAUUGCAAGCGGCUGCUUCUUUUACAAACGCAGAGGAUAACGUGCAUCUCGGGGGGAACCUUAAAGAACAGGCCAGCUACAAACAUGCAGGUCCAAGCAGACUAAAGAAGCAGCAGAAGGAGAUCUGUGGACUUAAUCACUUUAAAGGAUGUGUGUUCUGUACUUUAUUACUGCAGUUAAGCUAAUCAUGACUGUAACUGUGCAUUAUAAGCAUUGCAGAUGGUUGUCCCAAUAUUUCCAGGCUCCAUAGAAGGUUUCUAAGUGAAAUCAUAGUGAUGUGUGCACACAAUGGCGGUUAAAAAAAGUGAACCACAAGGACUGGGAGUUUAGAGGGAGAUUCACAUUAAACAUAUUUGAUGCACAAAUUGCCAAAGUGAGAAAUAUUCGGCAUCCAAAGGGGGAAAGCUCCCAGUUAAUGCAGCUCAAGGUGCAAAAUUAUCAACAGUUUUAGCAUUUAGCAACCUGACCAAAGCUGUGGAUUACUGCAAAACCGUGGCUAAUUUUAAAUAGAAUUUUAAUGUUGGUAUGUUUGGAUGAAACAGAAGUUCAUACAUGCUAAUCUUGCUAAAGCUAACAAUAAAGAACUGCAGUAAAAUUGGUUUGAAGUUGUCAGAUAUCACACUUGAAGCUAACUUUUAUUGUGUUUGGCUCCGUAAAUCAGUCUCAGAAGCCCGUGCACACCUUUUGUCCUAGAUUUUAGAAAUCCAAAAACACUUGCGGAAUAUACUAUGGUGUAAUAAACACUGUUACACCAAUCUAUGUUUUUAGUGUUGGCAUAUAUAAAACUAGAACAUGCACAAUCAGGUCCUCCAGUAGUCGAUUAGAGAAGAAUAAAUAACAACUGUCCCACUUUUUAUUAAUGGAAAUCCUUACUCUUGGCCUCCAAUCUUUGAACUUCAAGCUGUUUCUGGUUGUUUUUUGUUUGUUUGCUUGCUUGCUCAUGUUACAUUUUUCACAGCAAUAAAAGUCUGCACCUCCAUAGAAACAGAAGAACCACGAAGAAGGAGAGAAAACAGCUACAAUGAUGGAGAUCAGAAAUAAAGGGAAAAAAUGUAACUUGAAUUUCUUUGUGUAUUUUAUGGAAACUGAAAUAACCUGGAAUCAACAUGUGUAACAGUUUAGUGUCUACAGAUGUUACUAAUACUAGAAAAAUAUGUUGGCUCUACAUGCUAGAGAUAUUUUACUGCUUACAUUUUUAUUUUGCAGUUCAGCCAAAUAGUCUCCGCUGAGUCACUGAUGCCUUCACAGCUGUGCCAGGGGACACAAAAUGUUCAUUUGAGUAAAUUUACUGUGAACAAUGUUUUUGUGUGUGAAUUUUUCAAUGAAGCAUGUGGAAUAAAGUGUUUGUGAUAACGAU